rnacentral:rRNA from 1 species
CAGCCGCCGCGGUAAUACGAAGGGGGCUAGCGUUGUUCGGAAUUACUGGGCGUAAAGCGCACGUAGGCGGACAUUUAAGUCAGGGGUGAAAUCCCGGGGCUCAACCCCGGAACUGCCUUUGAUACUGGGUGUCUAGUGUAUGGAAGAGGUGAGUGGAAUUCCGAGUGUAGAGGUGAAAUUCGUAGAUAUUCGGAGGAACACCAGUGGCGAAGGCGGCUCACUGGUCCAUUACUGACGCUGAGGUGCGAAAGCGUGGGGAGCAAACAGGAUUAGAUACCCCUGUAGUCCCUGUCUCUUAUAC